rnacentral:rRNA from 1 species
GACGAACGCUGGCGGCGUGCCUAAUACAUGCAAGUUGAGCGCUGAAGGUUGGUACUUGUACCGACUGGAUGAGCAGCGAACGGGUGAGUAACGCGUGGGGAAUCUGCCUUUGAGCGGGGGACAACAUUUGGAAACGAAUGCUAAUACCGCAUAAAAACUUUAAACACAAGUUUUAAGUUUGAAAGAUGCAAUUGCAUCACUCAAAGAUGAUCCCGCGUUGUAUUAGCUAGUUGGUGAGGUAAAGGCUCACCAAGGCGAUGAUACAUAGCCGACCUGAGAGGGUGAUCGGCCACAUUGGGACUGAGACACGGCCCAAACUCCUACGGGAGGCAGCAGUAGGGAAUCUUCGGCAAUGGACGAAAGUCUGACCGAGCAACGCCGCGUGAGUGAAGAAGGUUUUCGGAUCGUAAAACUUUGUUGGUAGAGAAGAACGUUGGUGAGAGUGGAAAGCUCAUCAAGUGACGGUAACUACCCAGAAAGGGACGGCUAACUACGUG